UACGGAGGGGGCUAGCGUUGUUCGGAAUUACUGGGCGUAAAGCGCGCGUAGGCGGAUCUGCAAGUCGGGGGUGAAAUCCCGAGGCUCAACCUCGGAACUGCCUUCGAUACUGCGGGUCUCGAGUCCGGGAGAGGUGAGUGGAAUUCCUAGUGUAGAGGUGAAAUUCGUAGAUAUUAGGAAGAACACCAGUGGCGAAGGCGGCUCACUGGCCCGGUACUGACGCUGAGGCGCGAAAGCCAGGGGAGCGAACGGG
rnacentral:rRNA from 1 species